GUCCCUUAGAUAAAUAAUUUAAGGUCUAAUCUGCCCACUGAUUAAUUAAAUGGCCGCAGUAAUUUGACUGUGCAAAGGUAGCAUAAUCAUUAGUUUUUUAAUUAAAAGCUUGUAUGAAUGAUUGGACGAGAUAAAUUCUGUCUCUUAUUUAAAAUUAGAAUUUAAUUUUUAAGUUAAAAAGCUUAAAUUUUAAUAAAAGACGAGAAGACCCUAUAGAUCUUUAUUUAUGAAAUAUAGUUUUUAUUAAGAUUUUGUUAAUAUUUAUAUUUAAUUAAAUUUUAUUGGGGUAAUAAAGAGAUUUAAUUAAUUCUUUUUUAUUUAUUACUAUUAUAAUUGAUUAAAAGAUCCAUUAUUAAUGAUUAAAAGAUUAAGUUACCUUAGGGAUAACAGCGUAAUUUUUUUAGAGAGUUCAUAUCGAUAAAAGAGAUUGCGACCUCGAUGUUGGAUUAAAAAUUAUUCUAGGUGUAGAAGUUUGGAAUUUUGGUCUGUUCGACCAUUAAAUUUUUACA
rnacentral:rRNA from 1 species